CCUACGGGGGGCAGCAGUGAGGAAUAUUGGUCAAUGGACGAGAGUCUGAACCAGCCAAGUAGCGUGAAGGAUGACUGCCCUAUGGGUUGUAAACUUCUUUUAUAUGGGAAUAAAAUGUUCCACGUGUGGGAUUUUGUAUGUACCAUAUGAAUAAGGAUCGGCUAACUCCGUGCCAGCAGCCGCGGUAAUACGGAGGAUCCGAGCCUUAUCCGGAUUUAUUGGGUUUAAAGGGAGCGUAGGUGGAUUGUUAAGUCAGUUGUGAAAGUUUGCGGCGCAACCGUAAAAUUGCAGUUGAAACUGGCAGUCUUGAGUACAGUAGAGGUGGGCGGAAGUCGUGGUGUAGCGGUGAAAUGCUUAGAUAUCACGAAGAACUCCGAUUGCGAAGGCAGUUCACUGGACUGCAACUGACACUGAGGCUCGAAAGUGUGGGUAUCAAACAGGAUUAGAUACCCUUGUAGUC
rnacentral:rRNA from 1 species